GACGAACGCUGGCGGCGUGCUUAACACAUGCAAGUCGAACGGAAAGGCUCUGCCUUUGUGGGGUGCUCGAGUGGCGAACGGGUGAGUAACACGUGAGUAACCUGCCCUUGACUUUGGGAUAACUUCAGGAAACUGGGGCUAAUACCGGAUAGGAGCUCCUGCUGCAUGGGGGGGGUUGGAAAGUUUCGGCGGUUGGGGAUGGACUCGCGGCUUAUCAGCUUGUUGGUGGGGUAGUGGCUUACCAAGGCUUUGACGGGUAGCCGGCCUGAGAGGGUGACCGGCCACAUUGGGACUGAGAUACGGCCCAGACUCCUACGGGAGGCAGCAGUGGGGAAUAUUGCACAAUGGGCGGAAGCCUGAUGCAGCAACGCCGCGUGCGGGAUGACGGCCUUCGGGUUGUAAACCGCUUUCGCCUGUGACGAAGCGUGAGUGACGGUAAUGGGUGAAGAAGCACCGGCUAACUACGUG
rnacentral:rRNA from 1 species